GUAGAUAGAGGUUGCAUUUUUCAUUAGUAAGAUGACGGAUGUAUCAGGGGCAAAUGAACUCAUUCGAAAGGGAAAGAUGCCGAAAGAGUAAAGAACCUGAGGCUUUAUUCUUGGGCAUGGCGUAAACAGCGACAUGACUGUCAUCGCAGGAUGGAGAGCUAUCUGA
rnacentral:ncRNA from 1 species